rnacentral:tRNA from 1 species
AUUCUUUUAGUAUAAAUUAAUAUAUUUAACUUCCAAUUAAAAGAUCUUUAAAUAAGAAAGAAUA